rnacentral:lncRNA from 1 species
AGAUACAUCACCAUCUACCAUAACCACCACACAUCACCAUCACCUCCGAUCUUCAACCAUCCUCACCAACAAAAAAAACAACGAAAAAAAAUAAAAAAUAAAUAGAGCAUAGAAAUUAAGAUCGAACCAGAGGAAAGAAGGAGCAAGAAGCUUCGUCGCCGCCGUUGCCGAGCACCGCCGUGUCACCACAAACGGCCACAAGAACUCUCUCGGCCGGAACUCCUCCUCCUCACCAGAACUUCUCUCCCGCCGGUAAAUCUUCUCUCACUCGGCCACUCCCUCACUCUCAUGACGAUUGAUUGAUUCGUAGAUGGUGGUGGAGGUUGUGGUGUGGAUGUUAUGGUGAAGGAUGAGAUGGGGAGUGAGAGAGAUGAAACUGUGNNN